UAAAUUUUGAGCAGGUGUGUUCCUUCGUUUCAACUGCAGUCUGCUACAGUGGAUUGGCAGUACUGCCCAAAACGUUAUGUUCUACGUAAACCCCUUGUAAACCCUAACGUAUACGCUCAAUUGUGGACGCACCCUUGGGGCACAGCUAUAGGGCCAGAACAGCUAAAAAGGCAUAGACCACAGCCACAAGGAACAUGAAGGAACAAGAAGGAACAAUAAGGAACAACGGCGCUGUGUGUCGUUCUGUCGUCUUGUGUGUAUGGUAAAUAAGUAUGAAUGUAUCUACAGCAACAGUAUUAUAUUGUUGUUUGCAACUAUUAUCUUUGGCAUGAGAACUUCUUGAAGCCUGGCAAUAUGAAAAGAGCAAACGAUGGAUAAAUAGACGAUGGCUACGUCGUCCUAUCAAUAAAAAACGCUUAACUCAUGGAUUUUUUACAAGUCAGUUUCAAGAAAUGAAGCUUGAUAAUGAUAUCUUUUUCCAAUAUGUUCGAAUGGAUGUUGACACUUUUAAUUAUUUGUUGUCAAUGGUGGAGCCUUAUUUGAGGAAUCGUAAGAAGAAACGAGAUGCUAUAUCUGCUGAACAGCGAUUAACUAUAACACUAAGAUACCUUGCAAGUGGUGAUGAUAUCCUAUCAAUAGCGAUUUCAUACAGGCUAGGCAAGCCAACCGUCUAUAGCAUAAUUAAAAGAACAUGCAGCGUUAUCCAUCAAGUAUUAUCUCCUAUCUAUGUAAGACCUCCAUGCACUCCAGUUUGGAGAAAUAUUAUCAAAGGUUUCGAACAGGAUUGGCAACUACCUGGGUGCAUUGGCGCAGUUGAUGGGAAACAUAUCUGUAUCCAAUCUCCUCCAGAUUCUGGAGCUCUUUUUUACAACUAUAAAAAGUUUCAUAGUAUUGCUUUACUUGCUGCGUGCAACCACAGAUAUGAAUUUACUGUAGUUGAAGUCGGUGCUUAUGGUAGUGAAAGUGAUGGUGGUAUAUUUUUAAGAAGUGAAUUUGGUAAAUCUUUAGACGAAGGUUGUUUAAACAUACCUACUGAAAGUGUAAAGAAGAGGAAAUGUCCAAAAGAAAACACAUAAUGCUACAAAGCAAACUUUCAAAAGUAAAACUCAACAAAGUCCUUCAGAGUUAUUACAGGAUGAUACUGCAGAGGACGUUCUUUCAGAUCGUUUGAAUGAGUCAACCAACGAGGAAUUGCAACAGGUUCAAUAUGAAAAUAUUGAAAUUGAAUCACCCAGCUUAUUCAACGAUGAAAAUUCUACAUUGUUUCUAGGGCACAAAGAAUCAAUUGAAGAUACGAAUAAUGAGGAUGUUGUCUCUGAAAUAGCACUAACUGAAAAUACGAUGCAAAGUCAGAAUAUUUCUAGAGAAAAUGAGAGUCAGUCACAAGACAAGGUCACUAACAGUCCAAAAAGUACAACCUCUACACCUCGCACUCCUUUACUUGAUAUGACAGUUUCUUUUAAUAAUAAUAACAUCGAUAAUGAAAUGAAACAAACAUUCAAUUCAAAAAAAAUAUAUCACAGGGAUGAAGAAAAUAAUGCCAUUGCUGAUUUGGUGACUAAGCGUCUACGAAAAAUUGAAGAAGAAAAAAAGAAAAACAAAUUGAUUUGUACUAUUAUGAAUAUUUUAUUUGAAUAAAUAUGGAUGGAUAAUUAUUUAAAAUAAAA